rnacentral:rRNA from 1 species
UAGAGUUUGAUCAUGGCUCAGAUUGAACCUUUGCGGUAGGCCUAACACAUGCAAGUCGAACGCGAAAGUCCUUUUGGAUGAGUAGAGUGGCGGACGGGUGAGUAACGCGUAGGAAUCUAUCCUGUAGUGGGGGAUAACGUUUCGAAAGGAACGCUAAUACCGCAUACGCCCUACGGGGGAAAGCGGGGGAUCUUCGGACCUCGUGCUAGAGGAGGAGCCUGCGUCGGAUUAGCUAGUUGGUGAGGUAAAGGCUCACCAAGGCGACGAUCCGUAGCUGGUCUGAGAGGAUGAUCAGCCACACCGGAACUGAGACACGGUCCGGACUCCUACGGGAGGCAGCAGUGGGGAAUAUUGCGCAAUGGGCGAAAGCCUGACGCAGCCAUACCGCGUGUGUGAAGAAGGCCUUCGGGUUGUAAAGCACUUUCAGUGGGGAGGAAAAGCGGGUGGCUAAUAUCCAUCGGCCGUGACGC